GACGAACCGAGCGAACGUUGUUCGGAAUCACUGGGCUUAAAGGGCGCGUAGGCGGGUGCUCAAGUCCGGGGUGAAAUCCUCCAGCUCAACUGGAGAACUGCCUCGGAUACUGGGUGCCUCGAGUGUGGUAGGGGUGUGCGGAACUAUCGGUGGAGCGGUGAAAUGCGUUGAUAUCGAUAGGAACUCCGGUGGCGAAGGCGGCACACUGGACCACAACUGACGCUGAGGCGCGAAGGCCAGGGGAGCGAACGGG
rnacentral:rRNA from 1 species